GACGAACGCUGGCGGCGUGCUUAACACAUGCAAGUCGAACGGUGAAGGUGGAGAGCUUGCUCUCUACUGGAACAGUGGCGAACGGGGGAGUAACACGUGGGUAACCUGCCCCAAACUUUGGGAUAACUGUCCGAAAGGAGAGCUAAUACCUGAGACGAUUUCGAGUGGCAUCGCUUGAAUUGGAAAGCUCCCGCGGUCUGGGAGGGACCGGCGGCCUGUCAGCGAGUUGGAGGGGUAACGGCCCACCAAGUCGACGACGGGUAGCCGGCCAGAGAGGGCGACCGGCCACACUGGGACUGAGACACGGCCCAGACUCCUACGGGAGGCAGCAGUGGGGAAUAUUGGUCAAUGGUCGCAAGCCUGAACCAGCAACGCCGCGUGAGGGAUGGCGGCCUUCGGGUUGUAAACCUCUUUCAGCAGGGACGAAGCGAAAGUGACGGUACCUGCAGAAGAAGCACCGGCUAACUACGUGCCAGCAGCCGCGGUAA
rnacentral:rRNA from 1 species